UUUUUUUUUUUUUUUUUUUUUUUUCAGCUGUUACUGUUGAAGAAUCUCUUGGCUUGGACUCAUUUAGCCCCUUGACAUUGUAAGUACGGCCCAUGAGCGUAACCGGUGGUCACUACUGCUGCAUCCACUGGGUCGUGAGGGAGGCACAGUCAUGAUAACAAACAGUCCUUGCUGGCGUUCCCGUCGUGGCGCAGUGGUUAACGAAUCCGACUAGGAACCAUGAGGUUUCGGGUUCGAUCCCUGGCCUCGCUCUGUGGGUUAAGGAUCCGGCGUUGCCGUGAGCUGUGGUGCUAGGGAUCAAAUCUACGUCCCCAUGGAUACUAGGCCGAUGCAUUUUCCUGAGCCGCAACGGGAACUCCAUGAAUUUUACUUUAAAUGCACUGUGUGUGCCAUCAGAGCAGGACAUCAGAUAAAUACCAGAUGUGACCACCCACAGGGCAUCCUGUGAAGAAAUGUAGACAUAGGCUUAAAAUCCUUUAGCACAAAAAUCUGUAUUUGAGACAGCUCUAAAAACUGAAGGUUUGUGGCCAACUCACCUGGACAUAAAACCAACCUGCUAGAACCGAGUUGAAGGCUAAGUCCAGCCUGAGUUGAACUAGGGGUAUAAUUGGAGCUGAUGUGGGGCUCUUUAAAGUUUCUCUUUAUCCCGCUCAUCAUGAACAACCAUGCAUUUUGCUGCAGAUAUGAAUAAGAUUCCCUUCAGGGUGCUGCUCUCCGACCCCUUUAGGCCUGGUAUAUAUCUCUGAUAUAUUCACCAUAAGGCCAGUCUAAAUCAGAAAAAAAGCCUGAAUUCAACGCACUGGCCCCAAGGGUUCUGAAUACGGCAUGAGGUCUUUAGAAACAUAAAGCAGGGAAGACCCUAGAUCUCGUCUGGGUCAAUUAAUAUUACGAAUGAGAAAAAGAAGCCUAGACACAUGUGUGCGAGGAGCAGGGAACGUGUUCAGAAUCACGUCCUCAGUCUGGGGCUCAGCCAAGACAGUGCUAUUUCUCCUGCCACCUGCUGCCCACAUGUGCGUGUACGUGUUGAGAACACAGGUGUCUCUGCCCACCACUCCUACUGAGACACUAAGGUGAGCUAUCUGAAAAUGAGUGUGUCACUGGUUAUCACCGUUACCCAUAAUCCUGCUUUGGUUCAGACAAUAUUGACAAUAUGGAAGUUUGAGAGAGGUUAAUUCAAAGCUGUUCUAUAUGACUCUUGAAAAUUAGUCCAGUAAGAUUUUAAUGAACAAUGCAUUUGCAUUGCAUUCAUCUGAAUGCAUUUCCUUUUAGCAGUUAGAAAUGCUAAAUAUGAUUUAUUUUUGUCUUUUUAGAGCCGCCACCUGCGGCAUAUGGAGGCUCCCAGGCUAGGGGUAUAAUUGGAGCUGUAGCCGCCGGC
rnacentral:lncRNA from 1 species